GUUACACAAAUAAGACGAUUCUGGCUUCUUUAACGCGUCACCACAAUGUCACUUACAUUUACAAUAUGUCAGGAUGAUUAAAUAAAUCAAAUACUUUACAGGAAAACCCACUGAUAUGUGUGCACAAUACCUGGAGGUUAUAUUUUCUGUACUAACUGGUCUAAGACAAAAAGCCAAACUCAUGUUUUAUUUGUUUAUUUUAUUUAUUUAUUUUAUUUUUUUGUGGACUCAAAAUUGGUCAACGUGGAGUUUAUUCCUCUGCCUCUGAUAUUCCCAUAUUCCAUCCCAUCUGUGUCUCUUUCUCACGCUCUCUCUCCGCUCCCCGUCUCCUCACACACGCAUGCGUCAAUCGGCAGCUUGCAACGGGAAGAUUUCCAUCAUAUCUUUCUUAACUAAACCUUGAAAUUAUCGUUAAAAAUUCCUGUUUUUAGGAGAAAGAUCGCCGACCCAGAGACCAAUCAGCUCAGGACGCCCUCGACUUGUUCUUUCUUUCUUUUUUUUUCUUCUUUUUUUAAAUCCCAAUGCAAGCGCCGACUGGAUGCCUGAAAAUAAAAUAAACAACUCCUCAAAUCCUCCCAAUCGGCAGGCUAUGUCCCUGUGAUGCUCAUCUGCGACCACGAGGAGCACGAGUGCCUCCACUGAUCUGGGACCAGAACCUGCAAGACAUGCUGCCGUGAGUCAGGUGAAUUCAAAAAUUGAAUUUGAAAAUCGCCAAUCCAUCCAGUCUGCGUGGAUCGUCUCAGCCUCAAUCAGCGUCCAAUUGCACAUUUUUUCCCCCCUUCUCUCCUCUGUUUUGCUUACAGGCUCAUGCAUCCUGAAUUACGAAGUAGGAAAACAUGUACUUUGAGGGGGGAAAAAAACGCAGCUGCUCCUAGGCUGCACUGUAGUUACUGUAAAAUCAAAAGUGGAGCCAAUGCAAAUGUGCGCUAAUGAAGAAGACACAGUUAAAGAAUGUAAGAGCUUUUUGAAGCCAGGCAGAUUGAUGGAGAGAGAAGGAGAGAGAGAAAAAAAAAUACAAUUCUACAUAUCUGUAUCAGUGAAUGAUUAAUUAAUUUUUGUUGAAUGAUCUGCCGUAGCCUUCCGAGAUAUCAGUUUCCAUUUCUUUUUACACUUUUUUCUUUUUACAGAAGAUCUCAAGAGACCAGUAGUUCAAAAGGCGGUUCAAUUUAGAGCUCCCACUGGAAACGGUUUCAGAAAGUCUCUGCCAUACGUUGGGGCUUUGAUGUGUUUUAACUGUCAUAAUCUUACUGUUCACAAACGGGGAAAAUAAAUUUGCUCCAUUGUAAAAGCGCCCCCUUUUUUUUUUUUUUGACUUCACAGUUCAUUUAAGCUACAU